UACAGAGGUCCCGAGCGUUGUUCGGAUUCACUGGGCGUAAAGGGUGCGUAGGUGGCGAGGUAAGUCGGAUGUGAAAGCUCGGAGCUCAACUCCGAAAUGGCAUUGGAAACUACCUUGCUCGAGGGUUGGAGGGGGGACUGGAAUACUUGGUGUAGCAGUGAAAUGCGUAGAUAUCAAGUGGAACACCAGUGGCGAAGGCGAGUCCCUGGACAACUCCUGACACUGAGGCACGAAAGCUAGGGGAGCAAGCAGG
rnacentral:rRNA from 1 species